CAGUCGCCGCGGUAAUACGAAGGGUGCAAGCGUUAAUCGGAAUUACUGGGUGUAAAGCGUGCGUAGGCGGUUUGUUAAGUCUGUUGUGAAAUCCCCGGGCUCAACCUGGGAAUGGCAGUGGAUACUGGCUCGCUAGAGUGUGUCAGAGGAUGGUGGAAUUCCCGGUGUAGCGGUGAAAUGCGUAGAGAUCGGGAGGAACAUCAGUGGCGAAGGCGGCCAUCUGGGACAACACUGACGCUGAGGCACGAAAGCGUGGGGAGCAAACAGGAUUAGAUACCCCAGUAGUCCCUGUCUCUUAUAC
rnacentral:rRNA from 1 species